AUCCAAAGGUUCCCUCAGCGCGGUCGGCAAUCGCGCGAAGAGCAUAAAGGCAUAAGGGAGCUUGACUGCGAGGCGGACACGCCGGGCAGGUACGAAAGUAGGGCUUAGUGAUCCCGCGGUACAGCGUGGAAAGGCCGUUGCUCAAUGGAUAAAAGGUACUCUGGGGAUAACAGGCUGAUCUCCCCCAAGCGUUCAUAGCGACGGGGAGGUUUGGCACCUCGAUGUCGGCUCGUCGCAUCCUGGGGCUGGAGAAGGUCCCAAGGGUUUGGCUGUUCGCCAAUUAAAGCGGCACGCGAGCUGGGUUCAAAACGUCGUGAGACAGUUUGGUCCCUAUCCGGUGUGGGCGUACGAGACUUGAGGGAAGCUGUCCUUAGUACGAGAGGACCGGGACGGACGGACCUCCGGUGUACCGG
rnacentral:rRNA from 1 species